rnacentral:rRNA from 1 species
AUGAACAUGGGUCUACAACGGGCUCCCAGCUGUAAAUACAACCUCCACAAGCAUGUUAUAUCACUACGGGGCUACUCGCCGCUAAUCCGCAUACUCAAACCAUCAAAAAAGAAGUCAAGACUACCCUUAAGUAGACCCGCCGAUCUCCACGUUCGUCCUUCACGAUCAAUACCCCGCAGAGCCUGCACUAGUGAUGGUGUUGCUCCAUCGAAUACUAUGUCAUUCCGGUGUUUCCAAAGCUCUCGAUCCUCAUGCACAUCACAUGGGUUUGUCAUAGUCAUCUUCCCCCGUGGUGCUCGGUCAGCAGCGCAUUCUUCUUUAGAGCAAACCCUGGCCCCAGUGCUCCAUCAACUGCCUCACGAGAGGGUACAUGUUGUUGAUAUUUAUGGCGACAACAACAUCGUGCAGGGCCAAAAGGUUAUUGAUUCUCUUAAUCUCCUCCCCAUGGCCGCCAUUGCCAUCAACGACACUGCCACCAUCAACAUCUUCUCAUCUUCCUCCCAAGCACACGGAGGCCACGACGCCUCCCCUCUUUGCCGCCGCCGCCUCCUCCUCCUCUCUUCCCUCGUUCUCCAGCCGCCGCCGCUGCCUCCGAUCCUUCCUCCUCGGCUCUACCCACCCCAUCCUCUGUCCUCUCUUCACUCCUCCUCCUCUCACAGGCCCUGCCGCCGCACACCGCUGCUCCCCGUUGGCGGUGAAGGCCCUGCAGAUCCAGCCGGGAGGAGGCAGGUGACUCGAGCAGGGCUGGUCACCGCCGUGCGCCCGCUCCGUCGUCACGGGGAUCCAACUAUGGCCAUCGCUUUGUUUCCUUCCUUUUCUGAUCAUCUCGUCCACAACGGUGGCCGCGGUGCGGACAAUCGGUGGAAAGUAGGUAGGGAAGGCCCGACAGUGGUGCCACGCGGGAUGAAGCAACGGCGGCACAGGAGCUUCCCGGGGCAGUUCAUCUUCCUCUCCUUUGUCCUCCCCCAUUCCCCUCCUAGAUACUCGUUGAUUAAGAGAGCAGUUGGUGGUAGGAAGGACAGAGGACGCGAAGAACUCAUGGUUAGGUGUACGGCGAGAGGAGGAGGAGGAAGCACUUCUCUGACAAGAUCCAUAGCUCCCCACCUCUGUAUUUCCAAUGUAUUUGCAACGAUCGGCGUGUCACGGGAGCGGAUACGGCGGCAGACACAAGCAGAGCAAAGCGAAGCCGGCGCGACGGCCAGGCCUUCCAAGCACACAGCCACUGCCUCCUCGCCAAGAUACGCUAGCCUGCAUCUACAAGAUUUUCAUGCUGUGGUGUUAUUGCAAUCCAGGAAAAAAAAGGAACUUGCCCGUAUGGUGUUCACUAAAAAGAAGAAUCUGCUAAAAGGUUGGUCCAUGCUUAUCUUCACUGAUUACAUCUUCUUUGUGAUUGGAUGUGGGCUAUACGUGGACAUGAACUUGUUCCUGGGAUUCAGAAGGGAGGACGUGCCAUGGAACUUCGAGAAGACGGAGAACCAUGUGUACCUCCAUGUCGUGCUUUGGCAGAAGCCGGAUGCCGACGAGUCAGAACGCCUGCUGAAGAAGCCUCUCUGCUCACCAUUGGUUGAUCAUGCUGCCCUGUUAAAAUUUGUCUCAUCAACUCUGAAUAUGGUGUAUGGUGUACUCACAUCCAUGCCAACUAUUGCCAUAGUUGCAGACUUUGACACUUUUGGUGUUGCACCUGCGCUUUCCGUGGGAAGUGAUAGCAAUGGAAGCGGAGCUGUAGCUCUUCUGAAAAUUGCAAGGAUCUUUUCACAAAUCUAUUCAAGCCUUAAGACCAGAAGCAAGAUUUUUCGGAUGUCUCCAAGGAAAUGGGCAUUUCAGUCGCACAAGAUUAAUGUGUCAAAUUCUAGACUUAUGGGCUACGAUUUCGACUACGAGGAAUUCCAUGCUAGCAUGCACGGUAAAUUGCCAUAUGAGAAGUUGAAGCCGGACCCUGUCCUGAGGAACCUUCUGCUUUCGAUGCCUCAAAAUCCCUCUGAUGUUUCUUGCUACAUCGCAUCAGCGAGGGGUUGUGCAUCUUUGCAGGAGGAUUAUCAGGUUAACUAUACGGAAGAGAACCUGUUGGACUACAUUGAUCCAAACAAUGAUACACUCAUGGUCAUACUUGCAGACGGCCAUCUGCUCGCCGAAUGUCGCAUCACGCUAGGAACUGACAAGAGGGUCACUAUAACCACCAACUGGUCUGAGUUUCGUCGCCGCGCCAACAUUCGUGAAGGAGACAUCUGUGCAUUUUGUUUCAUGAUCACUUCAAAGCGCCGCCUGGGGCGACUACAACCAGGCACCGCCCAGCUCCCCCUCAAGAGGCGCGCCACGGGCGCGCCCUAA